GGGACUGGAAAGGAUAACAGAGUCACAGCCAGAGAUACAUACUUAAUGCUUCCUCUAAACCUCUCUUUAUCUAUAGUAUCUCAAAGCCUCAGCUGAGCUAAACAGCUCAAUUAAUAACUUAAUCUAGAAAUAACUUGAAAACCAAGCCCAGCGCAAAAUUUGCAAGCUGACUGGACUGAAGGAUUAUGAAUCCAGGGGCCCAUCUGAUGAGUCCUCCCCCUUCCCCAAAAGAGUUGCUAGUGGGCACCACUGACCAGAACUGCUCAAU
rnacentral:lncRNA from 1 species